rnacentral:lncRNA from 1 species
GCCAUAUUCAUGACCCUUGUACCACUCUCAGUUGACUAUAUUAAUGUGCAACGAUAAGUUGCUCAUCAGACGGUGAACCUCAGGAAGUGCAAUCAACUCGUCUGUCUCUAAAUCAAGGAUUCCCAUCCACAGUGUGGCACCCGCAGCAUCAACAGAAACUAGGUGGUCGCAGAUUACAGUCUACAGGAGCACAAGAGGAGGCCUAUGAAUUAGAAGUUCCUGUCACCGGGGGGCAGAAACUAUUUUCCCCUAUCAGUAGAUAUUUGUAGGUAAGAAAAGCACUCUUUCGAGUAAAUUUAGUCAAUAGUUCAUUUCAUCAAAAUAAUUUUCAAAAUGCCUAGGUAAGUCGACAAGUCAAAGAAUGUGCAGCCCAACAUCUUACCGGAUGAAUGCGAAGAACAUGCAGCCAGAUCGAAUGGGUAUGACCAAAGCCUCUGUUCACAAAUUGUCUCAAGGAAAACUUGGUUCUCCUACCAUACCAG